rnacentral:rRNA from 1 species
AGUGGAUGGGGAGCAACCUAGUUGUGCGUGUGUAAAGGUAGUGCCAAGAAAAGCGAUGAUCAUGUUGAAAAUCAAUUCCCGGUACCCGAAACCGACACAGGUGGGCAAGUAGAGAAUACUAAGGGGCGCGAGGUAACUCUCUCCAAGGAACUCGGCAAAAUGACCCCGUAACUUAGGGAGAAGGGGUGCCACCGAGAGGUGGUCGCAGUGAAGAGGCCCAGGCGACUGUUUAGCAAAAACAUAGGUCUCUGCAAACUCGAAAGAGGAGGUAUAGGGGCUGACGCCUGCCCAGUGCCGGAAGGUUAAAGAAGUUGGUCAGUCUUAGGAUGAAGCUAGCGACUGAAGCCCCGGUGAACGGCGGCCGUAACUAUAACGGUCCUAAGGUAGCGAAAUUCCUUGUCGGGUAAGUUCCGACCCGCACGAAAGGCGUAACGAUCUGGGCGCUGUCUCGGAGAGAGGCUCGGCGAAAUAGGAUUGUCUGUGAAGAUACGGACUACCUGCAUUUGGACAGAAAGACCCUAUGAAGCUUUACUAUAGCUUGGAAUUGUGUUCGGGCUUCCUGUGCGCAGGAUAGGUGGGAGGCGUAGAAGGUAUUCUUGUGGGGAUACUGGAGCCAACGGUGAGAUACCACUCUCAGGAGGCUAGAAUUCUAACUUAAUUAAGGACAGUUUCAGGUGGGUAGUUUGACUGGGGCGGUCGCCUCCAAAAAGGUAACGGAGGCGUACAAAGGUUCCCUCAGACUGGUUGGAAAUCAGUCGAAGAGUGCAAAGGCAGAAGGGAGCUUGACUGCGAGAAGUACAGUUCGAGCAGGGUGGAAACACGGUCUUAGUGAUCCGACGGUGCUGUGUGGAAGGGCCGUCGCUCAACGGAUAAAAGUUACUCUAGGAUAACAGGCUGAUCUCCCCCAAGAGUUCACAUCGACGGGGAGGUUUGGCACCUCGAUGUCGGCUCAUCGCAACCUGGGGCGGAAGUACGUCCCAAGGGUUGGGCUGUUCGCCCAUUAAAGCGGUACGUGAGCUGGGUUCAGAACGUCGUGAGACAGUUCGGUCCAUAUCCGAUGUAGGCGUGAGAAUAUUGAGAGGAGCCUUCCUUAGUACGUGAGGACCGGGAAGGACGCACCGCUGGUGUACCUGUUAUGAUGCCAAUUGUAAACGCAGGGUAGCCAAGUGCGGAGAGGAUAACCGCUGAAAGCAUCUAAGUGGGAAGCCCACCUCAAGAUGAGUAUUCUGGUGUAAGGUCACGGGAAGACGACCCGUAAAUAGGCACGAGGUGGAAGUGCAGAGAUGUAUGAAGCCGAAGUGUACUAAUAGACCGUCGGCUUGACC